UACAGAGGUCUCAAGCGUUGUUCGGAUUCAUUGGGCGUAAAGAGCUCGUAGGCGGUUUGGCAAGUCGGGUGUGAAAACUCCGGCUCAACUCGGAGACGCCACUCGAUACUGCCAUGACUCGAGUCCGGUAGGGGAGUGCGGAAUUCCUGGUGUAGCGGUGAAAUGCGCAGAUAUCAGGAAGAACACCCGUGGCUAAGGCGGCUCUCUAGUACGGUACUGACGCUGAGACGCGAAAGCGUGGGGAGCGAACAGG
rnacentral:rRNA from 1 species